rnacentral:rRNA from 1 species
AUUGAACGCUGGCGGCAGGCCUGACACAUGCAAGUCGAACGGUAACAGGAAGAAGCUUGCUUCUUUGCUGACGAGUGGCGGACGGGUGAGUAAUGUCUGGGAAACUGCCUGAUGGAGGGGGAUAACUACUGGAAACGGUAGCUAAUACCGCAUAACGUCGCAAGACCAAAGAGGGGGACCUUCGGGCCUCUUGCCAUCGGAUGUGCCCAGAUGGGAUUAGCUAGUAGGUGGGGUAACGGCUCACCUAGGCGACGAUCCCUAGCUGGUCUGAGAGGAUGACCAGCCACACUGGAACUGAGACACGGUCCAGACUCCUACGGGAGGCAGCAGUGGGGAAUAUUGCACAAAGGGCGCAAGCCUGAUGCAGCCAUGCCGCGUGUAUGAAGAAGGCCUUCGGGUUGUAAAGUACUUUCAGCGGGGAGGAAGGGAGUAAAGUUAAUACCUUUGCUCAUUGACGUUACCCGCAGAAGAAGCACCGGCUAACUCCGUG